GCAUUAAGGCGCCGGGUUUCCGGGGCUCCUGGCCCCGCUUAUUCCGCGGGGGUCGGCGGGGUCGGCCUGGGCGCCCGCGCCGCCGCUGCGCUUUGUCCGCUGGGCACACUGCUUCUGGGAGGGGCGGGCAGACAUGGUGGCGGCCGCCGCCCCCUCCUCGGCCCUAGCAUGCCGCGGCCGCCUCGCGGCUACCCGGCUUGCCGGUCCCGAGCGGCAGCCCCGGGGUGGCGAUGGGGUCGCGCCGAGGCAGCGGAGGUUCUGCGGGCGACUGGAGGUUGGCAGUGGGCGGGAGAAAGAGGAAGGCAGGCGCGGCUGGGCCUCGGCCUCUGGCGCCGCGGUACCCUUUGUCUCGGCAGCCUGACGGCCCCGCCGGGCUCUCCGGAGAGGGGAACGGGCGGCGAGGGUGGCGGGUCCUGGGCGCCCUGUGCUGCGGGGCCGAGAGGCGCUCGGGUCGCGGCGGGAUCGGCCGGACCAGACAGGGUUAAUGGAAGAGCCUGGCCAGUCCCGCGCGGGGCCCCCGCAGCGACAGCCUUGGCCGCGGGGACUGGAGUCCUGAGGGGGAGAAGCCUGCCGUUCUGAAGGCUCGGGACUUCUGCCCCAAAGACUUCGCCGCCGAGAACUGCGGGUGCACUGCCUCAGGGAAGAAGUUGAGAAUUUUGCCAGGUCAUCUCUGCCAGGGCACAGUUCAUCACUGUGUGUUUAGUGUGUUUCGGUGAAGCUCUCCAAGUGUGUUGAAUCAGCGUGCCUAGCCUCAAGGGUGCAUCGUGAAAACUGAAACCAAAGGAAUGAUACAGGCCUGCUUUGUGUGUGUCUUCCCACUUUAAGCUUGUUUUCAGUACAAAUACUCUUGCUUUAAACCUGAUUGGACUGUGGCGAGCGGACAUCUGUUCAAAGGAGGGGCCGAGACCACAGUACUUCUGAAGGGGGCUUGAUAAUGUGGAAACAUUUUAAGUUUUCUCUCCGGACUGUUUUGCUCUCUCAAUUCAGGCAAGUUACUGAAGUACGUUUUUUAUCUAGAAAAAGGUUUGAUGUAGUCUGUAAAUGGUCCUUGUAAAGUACAUUGCCAUCUCAGAAUUAAAAGAUCCACUCUCAUUUAUUAUGCAGAAGUUAGUGGUCAUUCUUUCCUGUAGAUAGUUUAUCUCAUGUAAAGACCCACCCAGCUUGGUUUAAAUUUUUUUCUCACUGACGUAUAACCAUCAGCUUUGAUACUUCCAUUUUCAGGCUCAGACUUUGAAUUUAAGGAAACUAAAGAUGACUUUAUUUUCUUUUCUCUUGGUUUUUUUUUUCCAAAAACAAAAAAUAAAUCCAUUACAUGUUAACAUAGAUGAUAAGAGUGACAUCUUGCAUUUUUGCAAAUCUUUUUAAUGCCUGGUUUAAUAGAAGAUUCUCAGAUCUACGUCAGACUGUUGUGGUUAGCACACCAUGUAACCUCUGGAACACUCCACUGUACACUCAUACUUUUUUAAAAAAAAAACCAAAAAACAGAAAUGUGUCAUUCUUACCGUGCUUUCACCAUACAAGUCAAAUCAAGCUGUUAUGCAAGACACAUUUUAACAAGACUGAAUAAGAUUGAUUCCCAUACUUUUUUUACUGGGCUCUAACUUUUUUAAAAGUUGGAAUUUAGGUGACUAAACAAAAUCACAGAUGAAGACUGCAUAAUCUGCCUAUGAUCUCGGAGACUCAGGAACAUUCGAAGAUAUUCUUAACACUUCCCAUGUAUCCAAACAGAGGAAAAAAUAAUUAGUAGUAUAGUGCUUGCUUCAGCAGCACAUAUACUAAAAUUGGAACGAUGCAGAGAAGAUUUUCAUGGUCCCUGCACAAGGAU
rnacentral:lncRNA from 1 species